rnacentral:rRNA from 1 species
UACAGAGGGGGCAAGCGUUGUUCGGAAUUACUGGGCGUAAAGGGCGCGUAGGCGGUCUUUUAAGUCAGAUGUGAAAUCCCCGGGCUUAACCUGGGAACUGCGUUUGAAACUGAAAGGCUAGAGUGUGGCAGAGGGGGGUGGAAUUCCACGUGUAGCAGUGAAAUGCGUAGAGAUGUGGAGGAACACCGAUGGCGAAGGCAGCCCCCUGGGCUAACACUGACGCUCAUGCACGAAAGCGUGGGGAGCAAACAGG